GACAAAUUUCAUAAUGUAGGCAGGGGUUUGGAAGUGCAUGCCGCAGUAUAUAUGGUGGAUUUGUGAAACUAUGUAUGGGAAAAGUAAGUUUCCAUAUGCUGCCGAGGAAUAAAUCAUACAUAACUUAUUGAUUUACACGUAAUAGGAAGUUGGUCUAACUCUCCUCUCACUUGAUUAUAUACUAUUAGAAAGUUUGCUUAUAGCUGCAAAACACAGUUGACUGAAGGGCUGCAUGCCUCCACUAUCAUUCCGUGGUACCAUAAAUUUUCAGGUAUAUUGAUGCUGACAUGUGAUUGAGCAAUGGCCCAUAUUACAAAUCUGCAACUUCAGACCACAACUUUUGCUUCUCUAACAUGUGUUUGUUGAUUGCGUUUUCUUGAAUUAAAAUUAUGCAUUCAACACCAUUGUCCACUAUAUAUAUUAUGUGGCACAAAAAUAUGUAAGUAUCCUUCUGUUUAAAUGUAGUUUGAUAAGUUUAUAUAGCUAUAAUUGACUAAAUUGUGUGAAGGCAGUGGCCAACUUCCAGACUUGUAUUUAUGGUCAUGGCCUAUUCAACACUACAGUGCUACAGUAAAUGGAGCUUUGGUUGUAUUUACAUCAUAUUGAAUCUCUUUCACCAGAUCCCAUGACUUUGAAAUCUUCCUUACCACCUCUCACUAAUCAUUUUUUAAGUGCUGCACAGUCUGAUCAACAAAAGGGAAGUUCGACAAUGAAGAAAUAAGCUACAUGCAUGCUAGAUGAGUUUGAACCUUGGUGGUUCUUCUAAAGGUAUGCAAGCCACUUGACAACAGGGACUUGAAAGCUACUAUUAGACAUGAAAGACGACAGAUAUGCAUAUUUCAUUGUUAUAGUUGCAGUAAUAUUUGUACGUGACUAAUAUCCUGCCGCUAUCACUACUUGCAUCAUAUCAAUGCCAUAUGUGUUAACGGUUCAUUUUGUUUUUAUGUUUGUAGAUUCAAAAGAAAACCUGAUUAUAAGGGUGCACGGAAAGUCUAGUGCAAUGAUGAUGAUGAUGAUGAUGUUACUAUUCAUGAUGAAGAUGAUGAUGGAUGCUUUCAAUAUUAGUUAAGCUAUUGGAUGAUGUUAAGUUUUAGUUAAGUUAUAGGGAUGUUGAUGGAUGCUUUCAGUUUAAGUUUCAUUGUCAAGAGAAUAUUUAGAUUAUGCAUCACAUUUGGGUGAUGUUCCUCCUGUAAUAUCCAGUAUUCUAAUCCAACAAUUUUAUUUGAUAUACAAUUUCUUCCUCCUGUGAG
rnacentral:lncRNA from 1 species